AAGUCGUAACAAGGUUUCCGUAGGUGAACCUGCGGAAGGAUCAUUACCGGGGUCACCGGGCGCUCCGGCGCUCGACACCAACCCUUCGGUUCCCGCCCGUCCUUUGGCGCAAAGGAGGCUCUCCAUUGGAGGACCUCUGCCGAAAUCAACCCUGAACAACCGUGCCGCCUGAUUUUAUAAAGCAAAUCGUUAAAACUUUCAACAACGGAUCUCUUGGUUCUG
rnacentral:misc_RNA from 1 species